GAUGAACGCUGGCGGCAUGCCUAAUACAUGCAAGUCGAGCGAACGGACGAGAAGCUUGCUUUUCUGAUGUUAGCGGCGGACGGGUGAGUAACACGUGGAUAACCUACCUAUAAGACUGGGAUAACUUCGGGAAACCGGAGCUAAUACCGGAUAAUAUUUUGAACCUCAUGGUUCAAAAGUCAAAUACGGUCUUGCUGUCACUUAUAGAUGGAUCCGCGCUGCAUUAGCUAGUUGGUAAGGUAACGGCUUACCAAGGCAACGAUGCAUAGCCGACCUGAGAGGGUGAUCAGCCACACUGGAACUGAGACACGGUCCAGACUCCUACGGGAGGCAGCAGUAGGGAAUCUUCCACAAUGGGCGAAAGCCUGACGGAGCAACGCCGCGUGAGUGAUGAAGGUCUUCGGAUCGUAAAACUCUGUUAUUAGGGAAGAACAUAUGUGUAAGUAACUGUGCACAUCUUGACGGUACCUAAUCAGAAAGCCACGGCUAACUACGUG
rnacentral:rRNA from 1 species